GUCUACGGCCAUGCCACCCUGAACACGCCCGAUCUUGUCUGAUCUCGAAAGCUAAGCAGUCGGGCCUGGUUAGUACUUGGAUGGGAGACCACCUAGGAAAACCAGGUGCUGUAGGCA
rnacentral:rRNA from 1 species